GACGAACGCUGGCGGCGUGCUUAACACAUGCAAGUCGAACGGUGAACCCGCUUCGGUGGGGGAUCAGUGGCGAACGGGUGAGUAACACGUGGGCAACCUGCCCCCGGCUCUGGGAUAACUCCAAGAAAUUGGGGCUAAUACCGGAUAUGACCGCUGACCGCAUGGUCUGGUGGUGGAAAGAUUUAUCGGCUGGGGAUGGGCCCGGGGCCUAUCAGCUUGUUGGUGGGGUAGUGGCCUACCAAGGCGACGACGGGUAGCCGGCCUGAGAGGGUGAGCGGCCACACUGGGACUGAGACACGGCCCAGACUCCUACGGGAGGCAGCAGUGGGGAAUAUUGGGCAAUGGGCGGAAGCCUGAGGCAGCGACGCCGCGUGGGGGAUGACGGCCUUCGGGUUGUAAACCUCUUUCAGCAGGGACGAAGCGAAAGUGACGGUACCUGCAGAAGAAGCACCGGCCAACUACGUGCCAGCCGCCGCAGUAACAC
rnacentral:rRNA from 1 species